rnacentral:lncRNA from 1 species
AAUUAGUCAUUCUAUUUAUUUAGCAUGCAGAUGAAGUUAAUACUAAUGAGAUCGAUCUUUCACCCGCUCCAUGUCCCAACAAUCAUUCAAGGAUGUCCAAACAAACGAACAAAAAUCUACACCAAUAAACAUUUUGAUCACAGAAAACUAAGAAAAAUAGCCUUCAAGAGAUUUGCUAAAAAUUUUAAAUACUCAUGUUUUAUAACAAAAG